AACGAACGCUGGCGGCAUGCCUAACACAUGCAAGUCGAACGAAACCUUCGGGUUUAGUGGCGCACGGGUGCGUAACGCGUGGGAACCUACCAUCAGGUUCGGGAUAACAGUUGGAAACGACUGCUAAUACCGGAUAAUGUCUUCGGACCAAAGAUUUAUCGCCUUUUGAUGGGCCCGCGUAAGAUUAGCUAGUUGGUAAGGUAAAAGCUUACCAAGGCGACGAUCUUUAGCUGGUCUGAGAGGAUGAUCAGCCACACUGGGACUGAGACACGGCCCAG
rnacentral:rRNA from 1 species